AUUUACUGUAUAUACUCGUGUAUAAGUCGAUCUCAUGUAUAAGUCGAGUGCAGUUUUGUGACCAACAAUUGUGACAUAUGCUAUGCCUCGUGGAUAAGUCAGCUAUGAAAUUCUGUGAUUUUUAUAAUUAUAUACACACACGCUCAUACAAACACACACUCUGCAUUAUAUAUACACACACUCAUACAAACACACACUCUGCAUUAUAUACACACACACACUCAUACAAACACACACUCUGCAUUAUAUACACACACACACACACUCAUACAAACACACACUCUGCAUUAUAUACACACACUGUGUGUAUAUAAUGCAGAGUGUGUAUAUAAUGCAGAGUGUGUGUUUGUGUAGUGUGUGUGAACUGG